CCUCCCCGCCUCUGCCGGACCAGAACGUGCCCGCUCUAGGCUGAAGCGAAGGCGGAGGCAAGACCAGGGAAAGUACUCAGUAAACGGAGAAGGGCGGGGCUUGUGUAAAACGAGGUGCCCAUGCUCUCCUGCUCUUUGAUCUCCAAGUAUCUGUGGUUACUCCACCGGACUUUGUCUCCCACCUCCUUCCAUCUUGUCUCUCGUUCCCACUGCGUUCGUUUCUAAACCUAGAUUCUCUCCGCCUUACUUCUAGCAGGAUCACAGAAUUUAAAGUUGCAAGACUGCAAAGUCGAAGGUCAUCGAGUGAAAUUCUUUUUGCAAAAAGGAGAGAAUGAAAAUCCAAGAGUGUAGUGACUGAUCACACGAGUCACGAGGUGCAGAGCUAAGAUUAAAAUCUCCACCUUCCAAUCUUAAAUUCAUCUCUCUCUCCCUCUUUAAUCCAUCCUACACUCAUUUCUCUACGGUGAAUCAAUACACUUACUCUCCUAUUCAAAAAUCUUAAGUGACUGUUGAAUGCCUACAGGCUAAAAUCCAAAUUCUUCCGCCACUAAUCACUACCUUUUUCCAGUUUUAACUUUCAUUUAUCCACUGUCUCCCACCCUAAAAUCUACAUUUAAAUAAAACUGUACAAGAUCUUGGCUCCCCACCCCACCCCCCCAAAAAAAUUUCACCUUUUCCCACCUAUAUCUAAGAACCAUCUGAAAAUUUUUCUCCCAUUUCUUGAAUCUUACUCAUUUUUAAACCCCAACUCAGAAUGUCUCCUGGGAGCUUUCUCAGCCAAUGGAGAAAUAAAUGCUCUUCACUUUUGUUUUUAUAUCUCUCAGGUACUCACCCCAUUCUGCCGAGUACCACUAUUAGGUGAUCCUAUACAUAUCUAUACUACCUUAGCUCCUUAUCUCUCGGUGUCUCACUGCACACGAUAAACAUUUAAUAAAUAGCGGUAGCAGAAUCCUAUGAAAGGAAAAUCAGGAGAUCACAGAUUAAAAGCCAGAAGGGACUUCAGAGACUCCCUCAUUUUAUACAGGAGGAAACUGAGGCCCAGAGAGGUUAAAUGAUUUGCCCAGUGUUCCAUGGAGUAAGCAGCAGAAUCAGGAUUUGCACCUAAGCCCUCAGACUGGAAUUCUCCUUUUUGAUUCUUAGAGGCAGUCAGAAUUAAAUGGCUUACUCAGGAUCACACAGUCAAGUCCUCCUGACUCCAAGACCAGUACCCUGUUCACUGCACCACACAGCUGCCCUAAAUUCUCUUUUUCUCUCUACCUGUCCAAAAGACCUCAGUGAGAAAUUGAGAACGUAAUAAAAAGAGUCCUGCUCUUAGCAUAAGGAGACUUGGAUAUGGGCCUUCCCUUGGACACUGGUUAGCUAUGUGACCUUAGACAGAUCAUAUAAUCUGUGACUCUAGAUCAGAGCAGAGAUACCGCUUUUGAAAGCUGGGUGGGACAGGGAACCACAAAUGGGGCUAGUUUCCAUGAAACUACAGAUGGAAUCUGGAUCAAAGACCUUAGUUCAAGUCAAGCCUCUGCAACCUGCCUAUUUCCUAAUUGGGAAAGGAAAAAAAUAGGGGUUGGACUCACUGGUCCCUAAUGAUCCUAUAUGUUCUGACAACAGCAUCAGAUGCAAAGCCUAUCUACAGGAUAAGGAUGGGAAAUCACAGACAGGCCAGAGCAUGGACAGAGGUCACAUCCUUUCUGUGACUAUUAAGUCAACAGCUGAUUGGUCAUUGGGAACUUAAACCACAAUAAACUUGCAGAUCUCUAAAGAGAGAUAGAUUUCUGGUGACCCAACUCCUCCUGGUGGGGACCUAGCCUACUGAAUAAUCAAUCUUCCAUUAUAACUGGCUUUUCCACUUCAAAGCUCUCCUCCCAAUGGUUUAUUUGUAGAUACUACAGGUGAGAUACUUCUUAACCCUUCACUUUAGAGACAGAAAGGACCCUAAUUUGGCCUUUUCAUUUUGCCAAGAAAACUAAAGCAAAGAGAUGAGAUUCAAUGAAGAUCACACUUUAAGUGGGACUAUUUUUCUAGCUAAAUAUUCCUACUUUAGAUAAGAUCUUUCUUCCCCUUCUUCCCAGUGCUUGGAACAUAACAGAUGCUUAACAAUUUUUUUUUGAUUAUUGAUUGACUCUUGGGUUUGAGAAAAGAAAUAGGAAAGAUCUCUAGUCCUCAGGGUCCUUGAGAGACUUCACUGGAAUCAGUUGAACAUCAAGGAGAUAUCAGAUCUCUUCCCAACAGAAUGUAUUUGAUAAGGAUCAGUUCAUUUUUGUCUUUGUAUAUCUCUAGUUCCCAAGAGAGAACCAGAAGGAACAUAUGAGUGGAUAUGAGUGGGAUGGGAUCCCUGACCUCAUCAGUAUAAGGAACUACUGGAACAAGGGUCAGUACUUUCUCUACAGUUUACGAGUAUCUUCUCUUCAAUUCUGAGAAGAAUAACUUGAAAGCACUGAGACUCACAGUUUAGAAAGAACGUUGACGAGGUUAAAGAGGUGAAGGUCUGGAAGCCAAUGGAUAGACUGAAGCAACCGAGCUGUCAUGCAACAAUGCGUAGGAGGAUAUGCUAACUGCCUUUAAGUAUUUGGAAGAAUUCCGUGAUGAAAAGAUGAAACUGAGACCCAGUAUCACAGAACUCAAAGGCAAGAAUUGGAGUCAGAAUUAUAACAAAAGUCUCCUAAAUUACAAAUCCAGAUCUUUCCACUAUAUCCCCUCCUUCCAAGUCUCAGAAAGGUGAUCUUUCUGCCAGAUAGGAUCAUAGAAGAAUGAGCCUAAAGUUCUCUUUGAUUCACUUUGCCCAAGGCUCACCUCAGACCUUGGAAUGAAAGCCUCCACUUUCAGCUCUGGAGCUACUGGUAUAGAUAUUUAUGGAGAUAAAGAGAUGUCUUCUCCAGAAAAAUGUGCUUUCCUUGAGAGUCAGAAGGACACAUGUGGAAUCUGGAGUCACCUUAAUUUGAACUCAGUCUCUUCUUGCUAGGAAAGUGAAUUCCUUAGCCCUGACUUAAUUCAUUCAGGCUAUUUCAAGAAGCAUUAUAAAUAAGUGCCCUAGCAAAAAAUUGGAAAAGGAGCGGAUGCCCAUCAACUGGGGAAUGGCUGAACAAGUUAUGGUAUACGAAGGUAAUGGAAUAUUAUUGUUCUAUAAAAAAUGAUGAACAAGCUGAUUAUAGAAAAGACCUGGAAAGAUUUACAUGAACUGAUUCUGAGUGAAACAAGCAGAACCAGGAAUACAUUGUACACAAAGACAGCAAGAAUGUGUGAUGAUUAUUUACAAAAGCCUUGGUUCUUCUCAGUUAUCUGAAGUAAUCCCAAUAGACUUUGGACAGAAAAUGCCAUCUGUAUCCAGAAAAAGAACUAAGGAAACUAAAUCAGCAUAUGAUAUGUUCACUUUUUUCUGUUUUUUUCUCUCUCCCAUGGUUUUUCCUUUUUGCUCUGAUUUUUUUCUCCCAACAUGAUUCAUAAAGCAAUGUCUAUUAAAAAUAAAUAAACUUACUACAAUUAUAA